GACGAACGCUGGCGGCGUGCCUAACACAUGCAAGUUGAGCGACGAACCAGGGCUUGCCCUGGGGCAAAGCAGCGAACGGGUGAGUAACACGUGGGUAACCUACCCCGAUAACCGGGACAACCCGAGGAAACUCGGGCUAAUACCGGAUGUGCUCACUGGACUUCGGUUCAGCGCGUAAAGGAAGCUUCGGCCUCCGUAUCGGGAGGGGCCCGCGGCCCAUUAGUUUGUUGGUGAGGUAACGGCUCACCAAGACCGCGAUGGGUAGCUGGUCUGAGAGGACGAUCAGCCACACUGGGACUGAGACACGGCCCAGACUCCUACGGGAGGCAGCAGUGGGGAAUCUUGCGCAAUGCGCGAAAGCGUGACGCAGCAACGCCGCGUGGGGGAAGAAGGCCUUCGGGUUGUAAACCCCUUUCAGGAGGGACGAAGGUUCGGCGGUGAAUAGCCGUCCGGACUGACGGUACCUCCACAAGAAGCCCCGGCUAACUACGUG
rnacentral:rRNA from 1 species